rnacentral:rRNA from 1 species
AGAGUUUGAUCCUGGCUCAGGACGAACGCUGGCGGCGUGCUUAACACAUGCAAGUCGAACGAUGAUGCUCUGGUUUUCUGGGGUGGAUUAGUGGCGAACGGGUGAGUAACACGUGAGUAACCUGCCCUCUUCUUUGGGAUAACGGUCGGAAACGGCUGCUAAUACUGGAUAUUCACUCAUUGGCGCAUGUUGGUGGGUGGAAAGGUUUUUUCUGGUGGGGGAUGGGCUCGCGGCCUAUCAGCUUGUUGGUGGGGUGAUGGCCUACCAAGGCUUUGACGGGUAACCGGCCUGAGAGGGUGACCGGUCACAUUGGGACUGAGAUACGGCCCAGACUCCUACGGGAGGCAGCAGUGGGGAAUUUUGCACAAUGGGCGCAAGCCUGAUGCAGCGACGCCGCGUGAGGGAUGAAGGCCUUCGGGUUGUAAACCUUUUUCGCUCAUGGUCAAGCCAUACUGUUGGGUGUGGUGAGGGUAGUGGGUAAAGAAGCGCCGGCUAACUACGUGCCAGCAGCCGCGGUAAUACGUAGGGCGCGAGCGUUGUCCGGAAUUAUUGGGCGUAAAGGGCUUGUAGGCGGUUGGCCGCGUCUGCCGUGAAAUCCUCUGGCUUAACUGGGGGCGUGCGGUGGGUACGGGUUGACUUGAGUGCGGUAGGGGAGACUGGAAUUCCUGGUGUAGCGGUGGAAUGCGCAGAUAUCAGGAGGAACACCGGUGGCGAAGGCGGGUCUCUGGGCCGUUACUGACGCUGAGGAGCGAAAGCGUGGGGAGCGAACAGGAUUAGAUACCCUGGUAGUCCACGCUGUAAACGUUGGGCACUAGGUGUGGGGGCCACCCGUGGUUUCUGCGCCGUAGCUAACGCUUUAAGUGCCCCGCCUGGGGAGUACGGUCGCAAGGCUAAAACUCAAAGGAAUUGACGGGGGCCCGCACAAGCGGCGGAGCAUGCGGAUUAAUUCGAUGCAACGCGAAGAACCUUACCAAGGCUUGACAUGCACCCUGACACUGCAGAGAUGUGGUGGCAUUUGGUUGGGGGUGUGCAGGUGGUGCAUGGUUGUCGUCAGCUCGUGUCGUGAGAUGUUGGGUUAAGUCCC